GGUUAAUUGAAAAGGGCUUUUGGUGGAUGCCUUGGCAUUAAGCGACGAUGAAAGAGGUGUGAGACUGCCAUAAGCUUCGGGGAGCUGUCAACAAAGCUUUGAUCCGGAGAUUUCUGAAUGGGGCAACCCGCCAUGGUAAAACUGUGGCACUCUUAUCUGAAUACAUAGGGUAGGAGAGUUAACGGCGCGAACUGAAACAUCUAAGUAGCGCUAGGAAAAGAAAACAAAUGUGAUUCCCUGAGUAGUGGUGAGCGAAAUGGGAUGAGCCUAAACCUAUAACAUGUCAAGCUAAUACGCGUUGUGUUAUUGGGGUUGUGGGGUGUAGUUGCUGGUGGGUAUUGACGCCAGAUUGUAGUUUUAAAGUUAGUCGAAAGUCAUGGAAAGGACUGCCGAAGAGAGUGACAGCCUCGUAAACGAAAACUUUAAAAAAGCAAUUAUUACAAACCCGAGUACCGUGGAGCACGUGAAAUUCUGCGGGAAUCUGCCUAGACCAUUAGGUAAGGCUAAAUACUUCUUAAUGACCGAUAGUGAACUAGUACCGUGAGGGAAAGGUGAAAAGAACCCCGGGAGGGGAGUGAAAUAGAAUCUGAAACCAAAAGUCUAUAAUCGGUAGAAGCGAUGUAUACGUACGCGCAACUACGUACCUUUUGCAUAAUGAGCCAACGAGUUAUUGUACAUUGCGAGGUUAAGCUUAGAAAGAGCGGAGCCGUAGCGAAAGCGAGUCUGAAUAGGGCGAUUAGUAGUGUGCAAUAGACCCGAAGCCCAGUGAGCUAUCCAUGUCCAGGAUGAAGUCCCAGUUAGAUGGGAUGGAGGUCCGAACCGGUGUAGGUUGAAAACUGCUCGGAUGAGGUGUGGAUAGGAGUGAAAGGCUAAUCAAACUGGGAAAUAGCUGGUUCUCCCCGAAAUAUAUUUAAGUAUAGCCUCGUUGAAUUCUCCGUGGAGGUAAAGCACAGUUGAAGUUUUGGGGGCGUAAGCUUACCGGACUUUUAUUAACUCUGAAUGCCGCGGUUUUUGAAAACGGGAGGCGGACUGUGGGGGAUAAGCCUCAUAGUCGAGAGGGAAACAGCCCAGAUCAUCAGCUAAGGUCCUUAAAUGCAUGCUAAGUGUGAAAAGAAGUGAAAAUACACAGACAGCCAGGAGGUUGGCUUAGAAGCAGCCAUCCUUUAAAGAAAGCGUAAUAGCUCACUGGUCAAGUGUUUUUGCACUUAAGAACGAACGGGGCUCAAGCAUGCUACCGAAGCUAUGGCUUGUGUAAGAUUUCGAUCUUUACGCAGGGGUAGGGGAGCGUUCUUUGGCAGAUACAAGUUUGACCGUAAGGACAAAUGCGGGCCAAAGAAGUGAAUAUGUUGGUAUAAGUAACGAAAAAACGGGUGAGAUUCCCGUUCGCCGUAAGUCUAAGGUUUCCGUGAGAACGGUUUAUCCGCUCAGGGUUAGUCGAUGCCUAAGCCGAGGCCAAUUGGAGUAGGCGAUGGGUAACAGGUUAAUAUUCCUGUACCACGUAUAGGCGUUUGAGCAAUGGGGUGACGCAGUAGGGUAGGUUGAAUUGGAAUGUGGAUUGCCAAUCUAAGCAUUGAGGAGGAUUCCGUAGGAAAAUCCGCGGGAUCGAUAACUCUGGGGUGUUAUGGGUAUGUUAGAUCCUCGUGAUCUAAUGUGUUUGACUGAUCUCACACUGACUAGAAAAGCCUCUAGCGAGCUUUAUACGUGAUCGUACCGCAAACCGACACAGGUAGACGGGCUGAGAAUGCUCAGGCGUUGAGAUAACUAUCAUUAAGGAACUCGGCAAAAUAGCCUCGUAACUUCGGGAUAAGAGGUGCCUAGAUGGUGAUUGAGUUUCGACUCGAAAGCUGUUUUAGGUUUCAACAAAGAGGCCCAAGCGACUGUUUAACAAAAACACAGGGCUCUGCUAACUCGUAAGAGGACGUAUAGAGUCUGACGCCUGCCCAGUGCUGGAAGGUUAACAGGAGAUGUCAGCCCGUAAGGGUAAAGCAUUGAAUCGAAGCCCCAGUAAACGGCGGCCGUAACUAUAACGGUCCUAAGGUAGCGAAAUCCCUUGUCGGGUAAGUUCCGACCUGCAUGAAUGGCGUAACGAUUUGGGCGCUGUCUUAAUGAUAAACUCAGUGAAUUUGUAGUGCAGGUGAAAAUGCCUGCUACCCGCGAUUGGACGGAAAGACCCCGUGCACCUUUACUGUAACUUGACAUUGAUUUUUGAAAUGAUUCGUGUAGGAUAGGCGGGAGGCUUUGAAGUGAAGGCGCCAGCUUUCAUGGAGCCGACGUUGAAAUACCGCCCUCAUCCUUUUAAAAAUCUAACUUUGAUACCCGUAAUCCGGGCGAAGGACAUUGUCUGGUGGGCAGUUUGACUGGGGUGGUCGCCUCCUAAAAUGUAACGGAGGCAUUCUAAGGUUCCCUCAAGACGAAUAGAAAUCGUCGGUAGAGCGUAAACGCAUAAGGGAGCUUAACUGCGAGACAAACAAGUCGAGCAGAUGCGAAAGCAGGAGUUAGUGAUCCAGUGGUGCCGAAUGGAAGGGCCAUUGCUAAAUGGAUAAAAGGUACGCCGGGGAUAACAGGCUGAUCUUCUCUGAGAGUCCAUAUCGACGAGAAGGUUUGGCACCUCGAUGUCGGAUCAUCGCAUCCUGGGGCUGAAGAAGGUCCCAAGGGUCUGGCUGUUCGCCAGUUAAAGCGGUACGUGAUCUGGGUUCAGAACGUCGUGAGACAGUUCGGUCCUUAUCCAUCGUGGGCGUAGGGUAUUUGAGAGGGCUUGUUCCUAGUACGAGAGGACCGGAAUGAGUUAGCCUCUGGUGUUCCAGUUGUUCAACACGAGCAAGCUGGGUAGCUACGCUAAUUAGAGAUAACCGCUGAAAGCAUCUAAGUGGGAAGCUCGCCUCAAGAUUAGAUACCCCUCUUCAACUUCGGUUGAAGGUAAGAUCCCUUGAAGACUACAAGGUUGAUAGGCUGGGUGUGUAAGCAGAGUAAUCUGUUAAGCUGACCAGUACUAAUGUAUCGAGAGUUUUAACCAC
rfam:Candidate division TM6 bacterium GW2011_GWE2_42_60 TV38_C0003, whole genome shotgun sequence.